ensembl:snoRNA small nucleolar RNA, C/D box 72
GGCUUAUCAGUGAUGUUGUGAAAAUAAAUGUCUGAACAUAUGACUGCAACAGUGAUUGUGGCGUUUAACUGAGAUAAGCU